AGGGUUUGAUUAUGGCUCAGAUUGAACGCUGGCGGCAGGCCUAACACAUGCAAGUCGAGCGGAUGACAGGAGCUUGCUCCUGGAUUCAGCGGCGGACGGGUGAGUAAUGCCUAGGAAUCUGCCUGGUAGUGGGGGACAACGUUUCGAAAGGAACGCUAAUACCGCAUACGUCCUACGGGAGAAAGCAGGGGACCUUCGGGCCUUGCGCUAUCAGAUGAGCCUAGGUCGGAUUAGCUAGUUGGUGAGGUAAUGGCUCACCAAGGCGACGAUCCGUAACUGGUCUGAGAGGAUGAUCAGUCACACUGGAACUGAGACACGGUCCAGACUCCUACGGGAGGCAGCAGUGGGGAAUAUUGGACAAUGGGCGAAAGCCUGAUCCAGCCAUGCCGCGUGUGUGAAGAAGGUCUUCGGAUUGUAAAGCACUUUAAGUUGGGAGGAAGGGCAUUAACCUAAUACGUUAGUGUUUUGACGUUACCGACAGAAUAAGCACCGGCUAACUCUGUGCCAGCAGCCGCGGUAAUACAGAGGGUGCAAGCGUUAAUCGGAAUUACUGGGCGUAAAGCGCGCGUAGGUGGUUUGUUAAGUUGGAUGUGAAAGCCCCGGGCUCAACCUGGGAACUGCAUUCAAAACUGACAAGCUAGAGUAUGGUAGAGGGUGGUGGAAUUUCCUGUGUAGCGGUGAAAUGCGUAGAUAUAGGAAGGAACACCAGUGGCGAAGGCGACCACCUGGACUGAUACUGACACUGAGGUGCGAAAGCGUGGGGAGCAAACAGGAUUAGAUACCCUGGUAGUCCACGCCGUAAACGAUGUCAACUAGCCGUUGGGAGCCUUGAGCUCUUAGUGGCGCAGCUAACGCAUUAAGUUGACCGCCUGGGGAGUACGGCCGCAAGGUUAAAACUCAAAUGAAUUGACGGGGGCCCGCACAAGCGGUGGAGCAUGUGGUUUAAUUCGA
rnacentral:rRNA from 1 species